AAAAAGAAGAAAUAGAAGAAGAAGAAGUAGAAGAAAAAAGGAAUAGGAUGUAAAGAGUGUAGGUACGACGCCAUUGAGGAAGUUUCCUCCAACGAAAAGCGUGUAGAAUUCAGGACACGAGAACGUGGCAAGAAACUCGGGCAAAAAUGUUGGAGCGCCGAUGCAAAAAUACAUAUAUAUAGGGGGAGGGAGGUUGGACGAGAGAGAGAGAAAGAGAGAGAGAGAGAGUGGAUGAGAGAGAGAGAAAGGGGAGCGAGAAGGAACGCGAACUGAUUAAACUUCUUACUGUGAUAAAGCAUGAAAAAAAAAGUUGAAUGCUGCACAAUUUAGCUCGCGUGUAAGAAAUAGCAGGGUAUAGUCGCCGUGAGGGACUCGAUAGAAAGGGGAUGAUGAUGAUGAUGAUGAUGAUGUGAAAAGUAAGAGGAAGAGGUAUAUCGCGGG